UAGGUGGGAAUUGAACAAUGAGAACACUUGGACACGGGGUGGGGAACAUCACACACUGGGGCCUGUAGUGGGGUGGGGAGAGGGAGGAGGGAUAGCACUAGGAGAUACACCUAAUGUAAAUGGUGAGUUAACGGGUGCAGCACACCAACAUGGCACAUGUAUACAUAUGUAACAAACCCGCACGUUGUGCACAUGUAACCUAGAACUUAAAGUAUAAUUUUAAAAAAUCUAAUAAUUAAAAUUAAAAUUAAAAUUUGCAACUUGUCCAGAGAUUAGGAAUUAAAACCCAAACUUAAGUAUCUUAAAAUUUCUAUCUAAUACAAUGGAACCAAUCUUUAAGAUACUCUCAUUUAUUAAAUUUCUCCAUCUGUGUUUGUAUGAUACUGCUUGUGUGUCUAGAAUUUUUACUUCUGCCCAAAGAAAUUUUGCUUAUUGUUGCUAAGUUUUUAGAACACCGUCCCUUGAUGGGGAAAAAUAAAUCUAUAGGGAUUUAACUAGAAGUCCUACUUCAGAGAUUACUUUUCAAGAUGUGUAGAAAGAAGAGGGCCAAGGAAAACCUCACUGACCUUUUCCCCCAGCAAUGAAAAUGUUCAAGUUUCUUAAAAUAAAAAGCAAGCACCUGAGUGUUAUUUAUAAUUUCAAACGUUCAGUUUCAGUUUCUAAUCCACCAAGUCCUCCACCUCCAAAGCUCACAGUGACUUUCCUAAGCAGCUUCAUUUCACACGGUUCCCUGUUGUCUGCUUUCUUUUAUGGGUCUGUAAACUCUAGAAGAUUCAGUUAUGCAAAGGAGGUUACAAAUGCUGUCUUUAAAGGAGGGGAGAAGCAGAAAGGUAAGUGGAAAAAGCCAAAUGAGCCACCAGGGCUGCUUCCUGAGAAAGCUGACCUCCCUCUUGUCUUCAUUGGAGGGUAAGUCCUCAGUUGACACUGUCAAUAGGUCUUUGGAAACUGCAACUUUAAGCGGAACGACAUAGGACAGAUCAAUUUUACUGAAGGCUAACUGAUACAAACAAGAGUUAAGUUCCCUUGGCACGUUUCUGAUCACAAAAACAUUAAACUUCUAAAUAAAGAUCAAAACACUUCUAAUUUUAAACCUUAAACUAAAUGUGAGCUAAGGUACAUUUAAGAAAGAAUAGGCCCAGCAUGGUGGCUCAUGUCUGUAAUCUUAGCACUUUGGGAGGCCGAAGCAUGAUGAUCGCUGGAGGCCAGGAGUUCAAGACCAGCCUGGGCAACAUAGGAAGACCUCAUGUCUACAAAAAUAAAAAAUAGCCACGUGGCAACAUGUGCCUGGACUACGCCUGGAAACCAGAGAAGAUGACCAAUUUCAAAACCAGAGAAGCAACCCUAAUAUGAAGUUCCAAAUGGUGUGGCAGGAAGGUAGCAAGACACCUGGGGCAGAUAACAACGGUUUGAGCACCUGCUCUGUGGCAAGCUGCCUGAAGGGACUUGACACACACUUGCAGACAGUUCUCAGAAAAGUUCAAUAAAUUGCCCAAGGCCAAAGAGCUAGUAAGUUGUGAGCUUGGAUUUGAAGCUGAUUUUUCUCUUCAUUGCAAAGCCCUGGGCAACAGUCUUUUUGCCAUGAAUCGGGAAUAAACAGGAGAGAGCAUGGAGAUGGCAACAGACUCAAUUUAUGAAUGAAAUUCUAUUUUAUUACUUUUAAAUACAGAUAAGGCCAGGCAUGAUGGCUUACACUUGUAAUCCUAGAACUUUGGGAGGCUGAGGCAAGAGAAUUGCUUGAGGUUAGGAGUUCAAGAUCACCUUGGACAACACGGGGGGUUGGUUGGGGAGGGGGAAGAAAGAAAGUGAAAGAAAAAUAAAUACAAAUAAAUACCAAAAGAGACCAGUACACUCUCCAGGGGCAAAUAAUGAAUAAUAUUUCAAAUCACUAUCUUAUUUUUUUCAACUUUAUUGAGCUAUUAUUGAAGUAGAUAAGCUGCACAUAUUUCCAUGUAAAAGUUGGUCAGUUUCGG
rnacentral:lncRNA from 10 species